UGCGUAGGCGGCCUGUUAAGUAGGGUGUGAAAUGCCAGAGCUCAACUUUGGCAUUGCGCUCUAGACUGGCUGGCUUGAGUGAGAUAGGGGUGUGCGGAACUUCCAGUGGAGCGGUGAAAUGUGUUGAUAUUGGAAGGAACGCCGGUGGCGAAAGCGGCACACUGGGUCUUAACUGACGCUGAUGCACGAAAGGCCAGGGGAGCGAACG
rnacentral:rRNA from 1 species